rnacentral:misc_RNA from 1 species
GAUGAAGAACGUAGCGAAGUGCGAUAAGUAAUGUGAAUUGCAGAAUUCAGUGAAUCAUCGAAUCUUUGAACGCACAUUGCGCCCGCCAGUAUUCUGGCGGGCAUGCCUGUUCGAGCGUCAUUUCAACCAUCAAGCCCCCGGCUUGUGUUGGGGACCUGCGGCUGCCGCAGGCCCUGAAAACCAGUGGCGGGCUCGCUAGUCACUCCGAGCGUAGUAAUACAUCUCGCUCAGGGCGUGCUGCGGGUUCCGGCCGUUAAAAAGCCUUAUUUACCCAAGGUUGACCUCGGAUCAGGUAGGAAGACCCGCUGAACUUAAGCAUAUCAAUAAGCGGAGGA